CGUUGGGAUACUGUGAACCUGACGUGGACACGGACGCUGCGACGACAGACGCAUGAAAAUAAGAUUACAUUUAAGCAACAACAACAUGCUGCUGCUUAAAUGUUCAUGUAUUGUGCCCUGGACAGGAUAUCAUCUUAUACUGUAAGUUCAUCAUUGAGACACUACAGUAUAGAUGAUGUACUAUCCAGGGUGUCAUUCCCGCGCAGACGCUAUCAGGACACGCUCAGGACACGCUCAGGACCAACUGACGGCGGGGCUGCACUCCCGUCACUGUGGAGGAGGGCCGUCAAACCGUUACCAUUACUGAGUUUUAGUAAUGGUAAGGGUUCUAUGGCCCUUUCUCAAUGUCAUCUGGAGCAGGACGAUGAAGAGAAGCCUGACAUUUAUGAUUUUAUCAGUGCAUGAAAAUAAACAACAUGGUUUAUUGUUUUUGGUGAUUGUUCUUUAGUAAAUAAGGAAGUAAUAUGAUGGUAAUUGGAAAGUAAUGAAUUACAUUUACUUGUGCCACUGUAA